rnacentral:lncRNA from 1 species
CCCUGACCUUUUAUCUACGCGCGCUGCUUCUUCUUAUCCCCUGCGCCACUCAAGCUCGUGGAAAAAUCCCACCGCCCAGCCUCUGUCUUCCACCUCCGUCCAUCGUCCCUCUCCUUGAGCCUCUUCCCCAGCCGCGCCCUACUCGGUUCCCCCUGCGUCGCGCGCCUGGCUUGCUCCCUGCUAGGCGUUCUCCUCCCCUGCUUCUAUAGCGGCUGAGCUCCCUCUGCUUGCGCGUCCCUUGCUCCUCCCAGCCGGCCGAGCUCCUGCUUCCCCUCCGUGGAGCACCCCCUGCUCCUGCUCCCCGAGCUCGCCCCUGCGCUCGGAUUUUCUCCCUCGGCCAUGGUAGCCGCGCGCCAUUCCUGCUCGCCCUUCGCUCGGCCGCCUCUCCUUGGUCUCCCAUGGCGCCCUGGCUGCGACCUCGCCUUGGUUAUCACAUCUUCUCGUGUUGUUGUGCGUUUGUUGAUGUUUUAGUCAUCGCAUAGCUCGCUGAUGGCCGGGCAUUUCACCUUCGAUUAGCUCACCAUGACGCCGACGUCUAGCCCUGACUCCAGUCUCCUCGCCACGAAAGCACAACCGCUACUCAGUGUGUUGAUGUCAUAUGCGUGGCACCGUCGUGGGUUGUCGUCGUUCGUCGUCGCGUCAUGUGUGCAACAACGUCGCUGAUUCCUCCAUGGUGCUUGUCGAUGAACUUCGCUUCAUAGGUUCCCCGCCUUCGGUUCGGCUCACGUAUGCACACCGAACGCAUUCACCGCUUGACCCUGUGUCGCUGUGUCGCUAGAGCUCGUGACCUCGCCGUCGUCGGAGUCCUCACUGGAUUCGUGUCCUCGUAAGAGCUCGCGCUAACCUGCUCGACCACACCUCACCAGCUCGCUGCAGACUCGAUCUCGUCGUCAUUCCGUGCGUCAUCAAGAAAACCCAAGAGUCGGGUGAAGACGAAGCUAGCAGCGUGAUGUUCACCAAGUACUCGACGCAAGGGCUGAACCAGAAUCCUUGCCGUAUUCGCAGAUAGCUUGUCAGAUUUAGUAUGGUACGAUAAUUAAUCACGUGACGCGGAGAACCAAAGCCAAGUCGACCCUAAGAUGACGUAACGGGUGGACUACUCCGCAAGAGGAUGUUAAUGGACAAACCUGAAGAUAGAUAAAUUGAACAAGUAUCGGAACAAAAGCUGAUCGCCAAGUGGUCGUCACCUAACAAACACUAACCUAGUGUUCUUCCAGGCAAGCCCCAGUGCAUUUGCCACCUCCUUGCUGUUUUAAAAUCUUUAUCACCUUGUUUGAUGCAUUAGGUGAUAGGAGUUGUGUGCUAAACAAUUGAUGUAUUUCCUUCCUUGGAAAAUUGAUUACCCUUCCUUGAUACCCUUUUAUGAAAAGGAUUUUUAUGAUGCUUAGCCUUGCUCUAGAAAAUAAAAUGUUUUGUUUUAAAAACAAAAGGUGAUACUUCACAGUGGAUGGGAAUGUUUUCAAAAAUAAAACUUGAUGGGGGAUCCAUCAGGGCCAUGAUGGGUUCAACAUCUGAAAGGAUGUACCUCUGCUAGGUACCAAACUUUGGGUUUAAAUAAUAAAGUUGAGACGGGGCGGUUGACUUGCACGAGAAGGGAGUCUCGGUGUAGUGUCUCCGUCUGAGUCGAUUAAGGACCGUGUCGAUGUGGGACUGCUGACUGAGGACCCUUUAAUUGGUCACAUGCCUCGUCAUGGGCAAGCUUUGCCUCAGGCAGACUAAUACCAGAAAGGCCAACAUGCAAUGGGAGUGGAGAGAUGGCGUGAGUAGCGUGUACCCUCCGUGGCAAGAGGCUGGACGGUGGUGUAUCUGUGCUCUCGGUUGGUGUGAACCCAGUCUGGUCUUAAGAAACCCGGUGGAGAGUUGACAUAUGCAAGGGUUAAGUGCUACAUAUGUCGUGUGAUUGGAGAUCCUCAGCUGAGUAUUAAUCGAUUCGGAUCGUCGUUACUUCUCAGAUAUGAAGACUUGGUCACUGACUUACACGUAGCAAUCCAGUGAACUGAAGGGGUGAUAAAAGACGGCUAGUAUAGGCCAAGUGUUUGAACUAGGAUAGAAAGAACUAUAGAUGCAGGUAACUUUACUUAACUUGACAAGUAAAAAAUGGAUUUUAAGGAUCCACUCAUAGUAAGCUUUUCUGCAAACAGAGUCUUUGAAUAUUGAUAAGCCUAACCUUGAUUCCCAAC